CUAGGUAUUUUCUAAGAUGCAUAGAAUACCUGGUGUGUUUACUGAUUCGAUAUUGUUUCAGACUUUUUGGUAGACCCACCUGUGGCUUUGGUGGUGUGCUUCACCAGAGUUCUGUAAGGGGGCGCUCUUUAAAAAUUUUCGAAUUCCCGCUGUCAGAUAAAAUGUCAAUCAGUAUUUUCAAAUUUUGAUUCUUUGAAAUUGAAAUUUUUUUCUCUUAUAUAAUUAAUCAUUCAUUGUUCGUAGUUUUAUUAUAGUUUUGUUGUUCAGUUCUUGUUAUUUUAGAUUAAUUUAUUCCAGUAGUUAGUUAGUAAGAAAUAGUGUAUAAGGAUAAUUUUCGUGAAAUGAUGCGAUUUUGUAUUUUGUGUGGGCAGUGCAAAGAUGGAGAUUCGACUGAUUCGAGUAUUCAUAUGUAUUCAGUUCCGAAGGAUGAAAACAGGCGGAAGUAAUGGAUAGAUUCUGUGGGGAAAUAUCUGGUGCAUUUAUUUGCUCAAAGCAUUUUCCCAUUCAGUCCAUUGGUGCUCUGAAAUUAUUGAAGGGUUCCAAACCAGCAUUCAUUUUGCAGUUGGAUUCAGUGGAGAAAUAUCCUUUUGAAAUCGGGACUAAAUGUAUAUUGGAAAUCCUAUAUAAUUCAGAGAUUGUUUUUUUUGUAACAUAGUUUCUAUAUUAUUUCUACCAAAUAUGAUAACUAUUGUGUGAUUAUCUAUUUACAGUAGAAACCCCAUUAUCCAGACCCAUGUUAUACAAAUUAUUUAUUCAUAUCGCUGAGUGUUAUUUUUGCUUAAAUAUAUUUACAUCAUAAUUUUUGCAAUAAUAUAUACGAUAAUCUCUCCUCUUCGAUUAUCGGAACAUCUGACAACAACAAUUAGUCUGGUUAAUGGGGUUUCUACUGUAGUUUGAUUUAUUUCUUUUAUAAUAUGUUUUGAUUUGAAGACUGAAUAUGUUUUAAGCUUGUUAUAUUGUGAAAUUGACUUGGUGAUUUAAUCAUUAGUGUAAUAAAAAACACUUUUUUAA